UUACUCGCUUCUGCGGUACAUACACUAAAAUUGGAACGAUACAGGGAAGAUUAUCAUGUCCCUGCGCAAGGUUGAGAUUGAAAAUAGCGAAGCGUAAAUGUUAUUG